rnacentral:rRNA from 1 species
UACGUAGGGUGCGAGCGUUGUCCGGAAUUAUUGGGCGUAAAGAGCUUGUAGGCGGUUUGUCGCGUCUGCCGUGAAAUUUCGAGGCUCAACCUCGAACUUGCGGUGGGUACGGGCAGACUAGAGUGUGGUAGGGGAGACUGGAAUUCCUGGUGUAGCGGUGGAAUGCGCAGAUAUCAGGAGGAACACCGGUGGCGAAGGCGGGUCUCUGGGCCAUUACUGACGCUGAGGAGCGAAAGCGUGGGGAGCGAACAGG